AUGAGCUCGUCGUCUCCGCCCGCGGCGGCCGAGGAGGUGCCGAUGGCGCCGGGCUUCCGCUUCCACCCGACGGACGAGGAGCUGGUCUCCUACUACCUGCGCCGCCGCGUCCUCGGCCGGCGCCUCCGGAUCGACGCCAUCGCCGAGGUCGACCUCUACCGGCUCGAGCCCUGGGACCUGCCGCCGCUCUCGCGCAUCCGCAGCCGCGACGCGCAGUGGUACUUCUUCGCGCGCCUCGACCGCAAGGUGGCCGGCGCCGGCGCCGGCGGCCGCGGGGGCCCCGGCAACCGCACCAACCGCGCCACGCCGCGCGGCUACUGGAAGACCACGGGCAAGGACCGCGAGGUGUUCCACCGCGGCCGCGCCGUGGGGAUGAAGAAGACCCUCGUCUUCCACGCCGGCCGCGCCCCCAAGGGCGACCGCACCAACUGGGUCAUGCACGAGUACCGCCUCCUCGACAACGACGGGCCCCAGGAUAUGCAUGUGGUGUGUAGAAUCUUCCAGAAGGUUGGAUCUGGGCCUCAGAAUGGAGCACAGUAUGGUGCACCAUACAUGGAGGAGGAAUGGGAAAAUGAGGAUGAUGCAAUUGAGAAUACACCUACCAGUGGUACAUCCACUGAAAUGCUUGCGAUCACAGAUACUGCUAGUGCGGAAUCAAAUGUGGAAGAUGAGCACAUAUUUUCUGGAAUUAAUGAGCGUGUGCAAACCCCAGAAGUGCUCAUCCCACAAGAAAUUGCUCCUCUCCAAGCAAUCGCUCCUCCCCAAGCUCAAGAUUUUAAUGGGACUGGAAUGGUCAGCUAUGCUGACGGUGAUGUUCCUCUGGACGAGAUUUUGCAGGAGCCUGUGUCAGAUGUCAGUGCUGACAAUACAGGUGAACCUGAAGAGCAGAGUCCCCUUGAUGAUCAUUUCAGUCUUGCGGAUUUGUCUGGAUGCCCAAAUCAAGAUGAUGGAUAUGUAUGUCAGGCUGGCCCUAUCAUGUUUAGUGACCCAUCAAAUGGUGAUCAGGCAUAUUAUCCAAUGAGAACUUAUGGUAAUCGAAACCAUGCCUAUCGGGCUCUUAGUGCCGAGGAGUUCUCCGACACAGGAAAUGGUACCAAUGCGUAUUCAGGACAGCAGCAAGCUUGUCCUUCAGAUGACCAGAACUUGUAUUCAGGACUGCAGCAAGCUUGUCCUUCAGAUGAGCAGAACUUGUAUUUGCCAACCAAUGGUCUGCCAUUUCCACAGCAAAUGGAUGACAACGCGCCGUUUUAUGAGGCAUCAAGCGAUCACAAAUGGGAAAAUGGAAAGGAUGAUUAUGUAAAUGUGGAUGACAUUUCUCUCUUUGAGGAUGAUGAUAUCAUGGCUCUCUUAAAUGCCUCAGACAACGAUUUCAGUUUAGAUCUUUUGGGCCCAGUUGACGGAUCUAAUUCUCAACUUCCAGCAGCAUCGAACUUUGACCAAAAGGAUGAAGCAAAGGCUCAAUAUGGCGCGUCUUCGUCUGGUUCCCGUGAGAACCUUUAUCCAGACACCAUGGUUCCAGAUGUGCCAAUGGAUGACAAUGCUGGCAAAAGAUACUUCACAAACAUGCUGGGUUCAUACCCAGCCCCACCUGCAAUGGCUUCUGAAUUCCCGCCAACCACAGGAAAAUCCAUCGCUGCGCUCAGCAGGCCUAGUCAGAUUCGUGUCACGGCGGGCAUCGUCCAGCUCGGCGACCACAGUUUCACCGGCAACGAGGGCAGCUGGCCCCUGCAGAAGAACGGAGUCUUCAACCUGCUCCUUUCUUUCACCGUGGAGAGCAACGUGUCAACGAAGUCCAUUACUUUCGACGACGAGCCAGCUGCUACACGGGUGAGCACCGUCCCGACGGUGCUGCGCGGCGGCCUAUACCUCUUCUUUGUCUCGGCCAUGAUCCUCAUGUUGAGUUUCAAAGUAGGGUCCUGCAUCUACAGCAGGUAA
rnacentral:rRNA from 1 species